GAAUUACUUCACAAUUAUCUCCCCGGGCAGAGCAGAGGGUCCUGGGUAAUAAAAGGGGAAUGGCUAAGUGUAUACCCUAUGAUUGGCUGCUACAAUGUCCUUGUCACGGUCUCCCAUUUGGUCCCCUAGGGGAGUGUCCACCAGAUGGGAGACCUGCAUAAAAGCCGGGCAUGUAGCCCACAUUAAAUCAGAUUCCUGCUGACCCUCAAUACGGAGC